AACAGAGCGAGACAAGAACACUGAGAAGGGGAGCAGCCAUGCCCUGCACCUCUGAACAGGGGCUCUGAGCAGUGAACUUUAAAAAACACUGACACUUCCCACAGAACCUGUCAGCUUUGGCCUUGCACAGGAAGCUAGAAUAGGACUGUGAGUGUGACAUCACCAGGUAAUAGCUUUUGAAUUUAUCCACAAAAACCACCCUCACAACCUCUGUCACAGCUGAAGCCAUCCCUCCGAAUUCUGGUUCAAGAGCAGAUAAAUCACAGGAAGAAAACAAAGAUCAAACUGUGGGAGGUGCACGUUUUUUCCAGAGCAUUCUUUCUUUCACGCCAUGUUAACUCAGCCCUCCCAGAUUAAAGGAAGUGUGCUGAUGUUGCUGCUGACAGCUUGUCAACAGGCCUGGAAAAAGGCACACUGGGUUUGUUUAGGGGGCUGUUAAAGAAUGGACAACAGCUUCAGUGCUGGAAGAGGGAUGCUGAAAUGGCCUUUCAACUACAAAGGUACCACCCUGCUGCAGAAGACAUGUUCAGGGCCAUUACCCGGCCCCGGUCCCAUCCUGCAGCCUUCCCUCCUAUGGUCAAACGCCAGCUACCUCAGCUCUGGCUGCCCCAGGGAGGAGACAGUCACUGGCUCUGCUGGCCCAUGCUCGGGCCAGGGAAGAGGAGCCCUCCUGCCCUGGGGCAGUGUUGGCAGCUCGGUGUCUGCUGGCUGCCCUCCCGCCGGGGUGCUGGAGCACAGCCAGAGCCAUUGUCCUGCUCCUCCUCGUGCAUCACCCGCAAGAAGGGCAGCUGCAUUCCUAUGGUGGUAUUGUUGCCAGUUUUGCAGGGAACAGGAACAAAGCACAGUGCUGGCACUGAAAAACACUGCAUACAAAUGAACCUCAGUUGAACUUGUACAUGGAAAAAAAAAAUCUGAUAUGGCCUUUACUGGGAAUAAAGCAUUUCAUGAUGGGUUUGAUUUUACUUUUUGUAUUCCUUGCCAUCAGAUUUACUGUUUUUGAUCUUACACUACUUUUACAGAAAGCUUCUAUGGUUCAGUUGUCUUAAUCCUGAUUUACAUCCAGCACAAAUAGUAGAAAUAAUUAUAAAUGCUGCAGAUAAAACAGAAACUUCCAAUUCUGUGCUACCACAUUAAAUACUUUCUUUUACCUUUGCUGUCAAUCAGCAUAAUCCUUUUGAAGGAAAGGUAGAAAAAUACUGGCUGUACUGAAUCAGCCCAAAAGUCCAUUUGUACCCUAUGCCCGACAGAGUCCAGUAGCAACACUUGAGGAAAGCAUGUAAGCUGAGGGUGGGCAUGUAGCAAGAUCUUUCUGGUCUAUUCUCUCAAGUCUCAAUAA